CUGGCGGCGUGCUUAACACAUGCAAGUCGAACGAACCUUCGGGUUAGUGGCGGACGGGUGAGUAACGCGUGGGAAUCUGCCCUCAGGAGGGGGAUAACGGCCGGAAACGGCCGCUAAUACCCCAUAUGCCGAGAGGUGAAAUGAAUUUCGCCUGAGGAUGAGCCCGCGUCUGAUUAGCUAGUUGGUGAGGUAAGAGCUCACCAAGGCAUCGAUCAGUAGCUGGUCUGAGAGGAUGAUCAGCCACACUGGGACUGAGACACGGCCCAGACUCCUACGGGAGGCAGCAGUGGGGAAUUUUCCGCAAUGGGCGAAAGCCUGACGGAGCAACGCCGCGUGAGGGAUGAAGGCCUCUGGGCUGUAAACCUCUUUUAUCAAGGAAGAAGAUCUGACGGUACUUGAUGAAUAAGCCACGGCUAAU
rnacentral:rRNA from 1 species